rnacentral:misc_RNA from 1 species
CUUUGUUUAGCAAACGGUUGAAACUUGACACAACCAGAAGGAAACAGAAUGUUCGAGACAAUGACAGGAAUGGGAGCGACAGACGCAGCGCCAAUGAUGUUGACCAUUCUGCGGUUAUAUGUGAAGUUUCCCCACUGCUCUCUUAUGCAGGAGAGGGGUUGGAGCACAUUGUUAGUAACAAGCGAUUCCAGUCACCUUUGCUACUCACAGAAAAACAUAAAAUGAAUAAAGAAAUUGAGAUUAACUAAGCAAACCCUAUAAUAACCGAAAGGUCCACAGAUUAAUCUCGCAUAAGAAAGUAUAAUACAUACUCCAAGUAUUGAAAUACAUGCCAUCGUGUUGAGAUACACGAUGGCGUGUAUUUCAAUACUU